rnacentral:rRNA from 1 species
CCUACGGGAGACUGCAGUGAGGAAUAUUGGUCAAUGGGCGGAAGCCUGAACCAGCCAAGUAGCGUGCAGGAUGACGGCCCUACGGGUUGUAAACUGCUUUUAUACGGGAAUAACGCGCCUUACGUGUAGGGCUUUGCAUGUACCGUAUGAAUAAGGACCGGCUAAUUCCGUGCCAGCAGCCGCGGUAAUUCGGAAGGUCCGGGCGUUAUCCGGAUUUAUUGGGUUUAAAGGGACGGUCGGCCGCAUGUCCAGGGUGCUGUGAAAUGUUCGGGCUCAACCCGGGCCUUGCAGCGCGAACUGGGGAGCUUGAGUCCGCGGAAAGCAGGCGGAAUUCGUCGUGUAGCGGGGAAAUGCUUAGAUAUGACGAAGAACCCCGAUUGCGAAGGCAGCUUGCUGCAGCGGAACUGACGCUGAUGCUCGAAAGCGCGGGUAUCGAACAGGAUUAGAUACCCGGGUAGUC